rnacentral:lncRNA from 1 species
UCUCCUCAGCAACAAAAAGCAAAUAACUUGGUGUUUCUUUUGCAGUAUCGACAUGUGCAGCAGGCAAUAACGAAGUGCUCUGUGGAUGUUGCAGUAGUGUAUUUGUGGAGGAAGUUAACUUUUGGCAGAAAACGGGGUUGAUCUCCAGGUUUGUAGUUCAAAAAAUCCAACAUGUUGUACCAAAAAGAUGGAAGAAAGAUAUCAGACUGCAGCAAAGCAAGAUAUACAGCAAGUGCUUCAAACAUCAAGUGCUACAUUAAAAUUUUUAAUAUCUCACAAUGCAGCUGCUUUUCAAGGUUUUAGAAACAAGCUGGACAAGAGAACAGCUGCCAAGUAUUAUGCUCUAAUUGGUGUUUUGACUGAGUCAACAAAAGAAUGGUAACACCAAUGAAUCAAAG